rnacentral:rRNA from 1 species
CCGUUGGUCUUCGGACCGAUUCUUAUAACAAACAUCUGUGUAAUGAACGUAACCUAUAUUAAUCAUAUAAAACUUUUAACAACGGAUCUCUUGGCUCUCGCAUCGAUGAAGAACGCAGCGAAAUGCGAUAAGUAAUGUGAAUUGCAGAAUUCAGUGAAUCAUCGAAUCUUUGAACGCACCUUGCGCCUUUUGGUAUUCCGAAAGGCAUGCCUGUUUGAGUGUCAUGAAAUAUCAACCCCUCCUGGUUUCUGAUCAGUGUUGGGCUUGGACUUGGGUGUCUGCCAGUUCGCUGGCUCGCCUUAAAAGAGUUAGUGGUAAUAACAUCCACGGCUAAGACGUAAUAAGUUUCGUCUGGUCAAGGUGUGACGACUGCUCAUAACCCGACCGCAAGGUCAUUAUUUAUGCUCUGACCUCAAAUCAGGUAGGACUACCCGCUGAACUUAAGCAUAUCAAUAAGCGGAGGAAAAGAAACUAACAAGGAUUCCCCUAGUAACGGCGAGCGAACAGGGAAGAGCUCAAAUUUGAAAUCUGGCGUCCUCCGGGCGUCCGAGUUGUAAUCUAUAGAGACGUUUUCCGUGCCGGACCGUGUCCAAGUUCCUUGGAACAGGAUAUCAAAGAGGGUGACAAUCCCGUACUUGACACGACGACCGGUGCUCUGUGAUACGUUUUCUACGAGUCGAGUUGUUUGGGAAUGCAGCUC